AUGGCUGCCUUCGGGGAGGCAGCUCCUUACCUCCGAAAAUCAGAGAAGGAGAGAAUUGAGGCCCAGAACAGGCCUUUUGAUGCCAAGACAUCUGUCUUUGUAGUGCAUCCUAAGGAAUCCUUUGUGAAAGGGUCAAUCCAGAGCAAAGAAUCAGGGAAGGUCACUGACAACAGAAGCUGGGGAGGGACCCUGACCGUAAAAGAAGAUCAGGUCUUUUCCAUGAACCCUCCCAAGUAUGAUAAAGUCGAAGACAUGGCCAUGAUGACCCACCUCCAUGAACCCGCUGUGCUGUACAACCUCAAAGAGCGUUAUGCAGCCUGGAUGAUCUACACCUACUCGGGACUCUUCUGUGUCACUGUCAAUCCCUACAAGUGGCUGCCGGUGUACAACCCGGAGGUGGUGUUGGCCUACCGAGGCAAGAAGCGCCAGGAGGCCCCUCCACACAUCUUCUCCAUCUCUGAUAAUGCCUAUCAGUUCAUGCUAACUGAUCGUGAGAACCAGUCAAUCCUGAUCACCGGAGAAUCCGGUGCAGGGAAGACUGUGAACACAAAGCGUGUCAUCCAGUACUUUGCAACAAUUGCAGCGAGUGGGGAGAAGAAGAAGGAGGAGCAGCAGUCAGGCAAAAUGCAGGGAACGCUUGAGGAUCAAAUCAUCAGCGCCAACCCACUGCUGGAGGCCUUUGGAAACGCUAAGACCGUGAGGAACGACAACUCCUCACGCUUUGGCAAAUUCAUUCGAAUCCACUUUGGAGCCACAGGCAAACUGGCUUCUGCUGACAUUGAAACAUAUCUGCUGGAGAAGUCCAGAGUCACUUUCCAGCUCAAGGCAGAAAGAAGCUACCACAUAUUUUACCAGAUCAUGUCCAACAAGAAGCCAGAGCUAAUUGACAUGCUCCUCAUUACCACCAACCCGUAUGACUAUCACUUUGUGAGUCAAGGUGAGAUCACAGUUCCCAGCAUUAACGACCAGGAAGAGCUGAUGGCCACGGACAGUGCCAUUGACAUCCUGGGCUUCACUGCUGAUGAAAAGACUGCCAUCUACAAGCUGACAGGGGCUGUCAUGCACUACGGGAACUUGAAGUUCAAACAGAAGCAACGAGAGGAGCAGGCAGAGCCCGAUGGCACAGAAGUUGCUGACAAGGCUGCCUACCUGAUGGGUCUGAAUUCAGCUGACCUGCUCAAAGCCCUAUGUUAUCCUCGAGUCAAAGUUGGGAAUGAAUUUGUGACCAAAGGUCAAACUGUGGAGCAGGUGAACAAUGCUGUAGGUGCUCUAGCAAAGGCUGUCUAUGAGAGGAUGUUCUUGUGGAUGGUUAUUCGCAUCAACCAACAGCUGGACACCAAGCAACCCAGACAGUACUUCAUUGGUGUCCUGGACAUUGCUGGCUUUGAGAUCUUUGAUUUCAAUAGCUUUGAGCAGCUGUGCAUCAACUUCACCAACGAGAAACUGCAACAGUUCUUCAACCACCACAUGUUUGUGCUGGAGCAGGAGGAGUACAAGAAGGAAGGGAUUGAGUGGACAUUCAUUGACUUUGGGAUGGACCUGGCUGCCUGCAUUGAGCUCAUUGAGAAGCCCAUGGGCAUCUUCUCCAUCCUGGAAGAGGAGUGCAUGUUCCCCAAGGCAACUGACACCUCUUUCAAGAACAAGCUCUAUGACCAGCAUCUGGGCAAGUCCAGCAACUUCCAGAAGCCCAAGCCUGGCAAGGGCACUUCUCCCUGACACUAUGCUGGUACAGUGGACUACAACAUCACUGGCUGGCUUGAGAAGAACAAGGACCCCCUGAACGAAACUGUCAUUGGGUUGUACCAGAAAUCAUCCGUGAAGACACUGGCUUUACUCUUUGCCAACUAUGGUGGAGCAGAUGCAGGUCAGCUCUAGGGUGGUGGCAAGAAGGGUGGCAAGAAGAAGGGUUCUUCUUUCCAGACUGUCUCAGCUCUUUUCCGGGAGAAUUUAAACAAGCUGAUGACAAAUCUACGCAGCACUCACCCCCAUUUUGUACGAUGCAUCAUCCCAAAUGAGACAAAAACACCUGGUGCCAUGGAGCAUGAGCUGGUGCUGCAUCAGCUGCGGUGUAACGGUGUGCUGGAAGGGAUCAGAAUUUGCAGGAAAGGAUUCCCCAGCAGAGUCCUGUAUGCUGACUUCAAACAAAGAUACAGAGUGCUUAAUGCAAGUGCUAUUCCAGAAGGUCAGUUCAUGGAUAGCAAGAAGGCUUCAGAGAAGCUUCUUGGGUCCAUUGAUGUGGACCACACCCAGUACAGAUUUGGUCACACCAAGGUGUUCUUCAAAGCUGGGCUGAUAGGUCUGCUGGAGGAGAUGAGAGAUGAGAAACUAGCAGAGAUUAUGACCAUGACACAGGCCAGGGCCAGGGGCUUCCUGAUGAGAGUGGAGUAUCGGAGAAUGGUGGAGAGGAGGGACUCAAUCUUCUGUAUCCAGUACAAUGUUCGUGCAUUCAUGAAUGUCAAGCACUGGCCAUGGAUGAAGCUGUUCUUCAAGAUCAAGCCCUUGCUGAAGAGUGCAGAAUCUGAGAAGGAGAUGGCCAACAUGAAACAAGAGUUUGAGAAAACCAAGGAAGAGCUUGCAAAGUCUGAGGCAAAGAGGAAAGAGCUGGAGGAGAAAAUGGUGACCUUACUGCAGGAGAAAAAUGACCUGCAGCUCCAAGUGCAGGCGGAAGCGGACAGCUUGGCUGAUGCUGAGGAAAGAUGUGACCAGCUCAUCAAAACCAAAAUCCAGCUGGAAGCCAAAAUUAAGGAGGUGACUGAAAGGGCUGAGGAUGAGGAGGAAAUCAAUGCUGAGCUGACAGCCAAGAAGAGAAAACUGGAGGAUGAAUGUUCAGAGCUGAAGAAAGAUAUUGAUGACCUCGAGUUAACAUUGGCCAAAGUGGAGAAGGAGAAGCAUGCCACUGAAAACAAGGUGAAAAACCUCACAGAGGAGAUGUCAGCCCUGGAUGAGACCAUUGCCAAGCUGACAAAAGAGAAGAAAGCCCUCCAAGAGGCCCAUCAGCAGACACUGGAUGACCUGCAGGUAGAAGAGGACAAGGUCAAUACUCUGACCAAAGCUAAGACCAAGCUGGAGCAGCAAGUGGACGAUCUGGAAGGGUCCCUGGAGCAAGAGAAGAAACUGCGCAUGGACCUUGAGAGAGCUAAGAGGAAACUCGAAGGAGACCUGAAGCUGGCCCAUGACAGCAUAAUGGAUCUGGAAAAUGAUAAGCAGCAGCUGGAUGAGAAACUGAAGAAGAAAGACUUUGAAAUCAGCCAGAUCCAGAGCAAAAUCGAGGAUGAGCAAGCCCUGGGCAUGCAACUACAGAAGAAGAUCAAGGAGCUGCAGGAGGAGCUGUCCAAUGUCAACCUCUCCAAGUUCCGCAAGAUCCAGCAUGAGCUGGAGGAAGCCGAGGAGCGGGCUGACAUUGCAGAGUCGCAGGUCAACAAGCUCCGAGUCAAAAGCCGGGAGUUUCACGGCAAGAAGAUAGAAGAGGAAGAGUGA